rnacentral:rRNA from 1 species
ACUGGGCGUAAAGAGCUCGUAGGUGGUUUGUCGCGUUGUUCGUGAAAUCUCACGGCUUAACUGUGAGCGUGCGGGCGAUACGGGCAGACUUGAGUACUGCAGGGGAGACUGGAAUUCCUGGUGUAGCGGUGGAAUGCGCAGAUAUCAGGAGGAACACCGGUGGCGAAGGCGGGUCUCUGGGCAGUAACUGACGCUGAGGAGCGAAAGCGUGGGGAGCGAACAGGAUUAGAUACCCUGGUAGUCCACGCCGUAAACGGUGGGUACUAGGUGUGGGUUUCCUUCCUUGGGAUCCGUGCCGUAGCUAACGCAUUAAGUACCCCGCCUGGGGAGUACGGCCGCAAGGCUAAAACUCAAAGAAAUUGACGGGGGCCCGCACAAGCGGCGGAGCAUGUGGAUUAAUUCGAUGCAACGCGAAGAACCUUACCUGGGUUUGACAUGCACGGGACGCCGGCAGAGAUGUCGGUUCCCUUGUGGCCUGUGUGCAGGUGGUGCAUGGCUGUCGUCAGCUCGUGUCGUGAG